rnacentral:rRNA from 1 species
GGUGCACCAGGCGCGAAAACUUUACAAUGCUGGAAACAGCGAUAAGGGGACCUCGAGUGCCAGGUUACAAAUCUGGCUGUCGUGAUGCCUAAAAAGCAUUGCAUAGCAAGGGCCGGGCAAGACCGGUGCCAGCCGCCGCGGUAACACCGGCGGCUCGAGUGGUAACCGUUAUUAUUGGGUCUAAAGGGUCUGUAGCCGGCCGGAUAAGUCUCUUGGGAAAUCCAGCAGCUCAACUGUUGGGCUUUCAGGAGAUACUGUCUGGCUCGAGGCCGGGAGAGGUGAGAGGUACUUCAGGGGUAGGGGUGAAAUCUUGUAAUCCUUGAAGGACCACCAGUGGCGAAGGCGUCUCACCAGAACGGACCUGACGGCAAGGGACGAAAGCUAGGGGCACGAACCGGAUUAGAUACCCGGGUAGUCCUAGCCGUAAACGAUACUCGCUAGGUGUCGGCCACGGUGCGACCGUUGUCGGUGCCGUAGGGAAGCCGUGAAGCGAGCCACCUGGGAAGUACGGCCGCAAGGCUGAAACUUAAAGGAAUUGGCGGGGGAGCACAAGGGCGAAUCGCG